UCUGUGGGGUCUUCUUAAAAGGCGGGGAAGGCGCGCUGUCUUGUCCGGCAGCCUUUCUUCCUCUUCGGUUUGGGGAGGCGAGGUGACAUAAGCUCCAGCAGUCAUCUUGGACUAGGAGAUAACGCCGAGGGUGAAAAUGAGGCGCCCAGAGGUUGGCCCUGAAAGCCCUUGAGCCCAAACAGUGGGGGAAGUCAGAAAAGACUGGACCCAGAGGAUGGUGCCUUCUAGACGGGCAGCGAUGGGAUCCUCUAGUCAAGAAAACGUCUUCAGCAGAUUUUUUUCUUUCACCAAAUUCUGAGUCAAGGCACAAUGUGUUCGUAUUUAAUGAGUGGAAAGUUGUCCAUGCGGUCAAUUGAAACCGUCCUUAUCACCCUCACGAAGUCGCACCUAUAUGAAAGUGUUCUAGGAAGCUCAAGGGUGUGGAUUUAGAUCAAUGAAGACUUUCUUGCAUGUGUUCUUAGCUCCAGUUGAGACUGAAAGUAAUGUUUACAUGUAUCUUUUAUUCCUGGGAGUAUAACAUUGUGCUAAUAAUAACUAUAAGAAAGCAAGCAAACUGUACAUUCUAAAUUUAUCCCCCCUAUGCUUUAAGUGAGGAGAGGAAAAAUCAUGAAUAAUAAAUAUGGAGAUAAGAGAAUGAAACUGGGAAAUCAAUUUACUGCAAAAUAUUUGCAUAUUUUAUUAAAA